rnacentral:tmRNA from 1 species
GGGACGGAUCAGGUCGAAAUCAGGAUAAGUGGAGUUCCAGAGGCCAUCCCAUCUCGUGUAUUUCGCCUUUAUGAGGAAGUCGCCAUAAGCUUUACUGCACUGGAGCUAAAAGAAGGCGACCAAGUCCUCUUUACCUAUUCAGAAAAUAGUCAAAAUGAAGAUGUUAUUACUGAAAUAGUGAAAAUCGUCAAUUAGAAUAAAAAGCUUAAUUAAGUAGCUCGUCCGCUUACCGCGAGCCUGUAGGGGUAAGUCCGGGCGCCGACUAAUCAGGCCACCGAUCCCACGGUUUGUACAGCCAAAGGGGUAGGGAAUAACAAUUGUGCUAGCGUAACGGUAUCUUGUCUCAGUGAGCCCGCUGCGCGAAAUCAAACCUGAGGCUACACUCGUAGAAGCUUUUGCUGGUCUGCUUUCGGACAGGGGUUCGACUCCCCUCGCCUCCACCA